GGGCGCUUAGCUCAGCGGUAGAGCACAGCCUUCACACGGCUGGGGUCGCAGGUUCGAAACCUGCAGCGCCCA
rnacentral:tRNA from 2 species